rnacentral:rRNA from 1 species
AUUGAACGCUGGCGGCAGGCCUAACACAUGCAAGUCGAGCGAGCGGCGGACGGGUGAGUAAUGUCUGGGAAACUGCCUGAUGGAGGGGGAUAACUCCUGGAAACGGUAGCUAAUACCGCAUACCAUCAGAUGUGCCCAGAUGGGAUUAGCUAUUAGGUGGGGUAACGGCUCACCUAGGCGACGAUCCCUAGCUGGUCUGCGAGGAUGACCAGCGACACGGGAACUGAGACACGGUCCAGACUCCUGCGUGAGGCAGCAGUGGGGAAUAGUGCACAAUGGGCGAAAGCCUGAGGCAGCCAUGCCGCGUGUGUGAAGAAGGCCUUCGGGUUGUAAAGCACUUUCAGCGGGGAGGCGUUACCCGCAGAAGAAGCACCGGCUAACUCCGUGCCAGCAGCCGCGGUAAUUC